AAUGUUUUAACAACCCUAGAAAAUUAAAUUACGUGAUUGACCCUAUACGCAGAAUUAGUUAGUUGCCUCUCCCAUUGAACAAAGCCCUAAUCGCCGGUGACCGGACGGCAAGCACCAGGAAACGGACUCAAAUAGCAAGGUCUUCCGGCUAUCGAGUCACUCACAGAAGUCGCUGAGCCUCACUAGCUUCAAAGAUGGCGGGGGAUUGGCGUGAGAGUGGAGACAGGGAUCCUGGAUCAGGCACUUACAAUUAUGCAGAGGAAGAUGAAAUUCAGAGGGAUUGAACGGAUGAUGAAGCAGGAGAAGACUCGCGGCAUCGGAAAAUCAGAGUCGCGUGUGUUGGAACGGAAGAACCUGGAGCGCAGGAUCAGGUCACAGGAACUCGUUUGGAAGCUCAAGCCCAUCUUCUCCAACAAGAAGGAAGGCUUGGAGUAAGAAGAACUUCAAGUGGAUUGGCUUUAUGUAGGGUGAAUCCCGGUCCCUCAGUCAUGUCGACUGGUCCUCCUGUUGGGCUUGCAAGGUCAAAUCCAUGUAGCAAAUUUGCAAGCGUAAGUAGCAUAGAUUCGUUCGCAAGAGAUAUUCCAGGACAAAUUCUUCUACCACUUCCAAAUGGUAUCAAUUCAAAAUCUUGGCCCCUGUAGUCAAUGUGCUUGUGUGUGGGAUAUGAAAACCGUCGACGGUGCAGUCUUCUGUUGACAUAUGUGGUGCAUCGAGUGCUGAUGGGGGAUACAUCCUCAGUGUUUCCUUGAUGAUGGCUGGGAUAUACACCAAUUUUUGCAGAUCCGAAUCUUCAAUGCACC